CUAACCGUGCAAAGGUAGCACAAUCACUUGUUCUAUAAAUCAGGACUAGUAUGAACGGCCCCACGAGGGCUACGCUGUCUCCCCCCCCCAAUCAGUGAAACUGAUCUCCUCGUGAAGAAGCGAGGAUAACCCCACAAGACGAGAAGACCCCAUGGAACUUUAAACUAGUGCCACUAUUUCUAACUCACACCACACCAACAAAACACAUGACCACUAGUCUUUUGGCUGGGGCGGCCACGGAGAAAAACGAAACCCCCGAGAUGAGACCCCUUAUCCCAGAACUACUAUUCCAAGAAUCAACAAAUGACAUAAUUGACCCAAUAAUUUACCCAAUAAUUGACCAACGAACCAAGCUACCCUGGGGAUAACAGCGCAAUCCAUUUCAAGAGACCCCAUCGACAAAUGGGCUUACGACCUCGAUGUUGGAUCAGGGUAUCCUGGCGGUGCAGCCGCUGCCGAAGGUUCGUUUGUUCAACGAUUAAAACCCUACGUGAUCU
rnacentral:rRNA from 1 species